AUGAAUUAAUGAUAUCACCAUGAUAGCAUCUCUCUUGCUGCUUCAUGCAGGGAAUCGUCGCCCCAUGGAGCGCAGCGAUUUUGCUGCUGGCAGUGCUGGUGUCCUGCUGGGAGCUGCACCCCCUGUGCUCUGCGGAGCAGAGGGCAGGACAAGGGCCACGCCAGGAGGAUUUCUUCUCAAUCAGCUUUGAUAAUUAUGAUACACCCCGCUGCGUUCUGGGCCUUCAGCUCCAGUUUUGGCUGUAGGAAAAAAGAAAGGGCCCUCCUGGCUCCCAGGCUGAGCAGCUCCAACGCCUGCCUUUACAAUACUGCUACAGUCAGACAUGAAAUCUUAAUGCACGAUAGUGCCUCAAAUCUUACAUUCUUCUGAAAAAGGGAGUAAAGCAAUCUCAUGAGCUUUUAUGUGUCCUCCUAAAGACAGAAAAAUCACAGAUGACUGGAUCUGAUGUGAUCCCCACUUCCAGCACUGCUUUAAUUCCUGACCUACCACGUCAUGAGCUCCAAAACACACACAAAUUACCUUGUCAACCUUGAGAUGCUCAUUUGGACUGGAAGGCAAUAAUUAGCAAGAAAAGCAAGCUAAAAUGGCAAAGAAGGUCACUUCUGAGGCUCGGCCAGUGGGUGAUGCAAGAACAGCCCCUGCUGCAGGAGCCCAUGUCCCCAUCUGCCCUUCUCCAGCUCUGAGAAACAUGGGGAAGAAAGAGAGAAACUGGCUCAGCAGACAGGUGGGAGAACCCAUGCUCUUCCCUAUCCCAGAGUUUUGUAACGUUUCACAGGUUGCUU
rnacentral:lncRNA from 7 species